rnacentral:rRNA from 1 species
UACGUAGGGUGCAAGCGUUGUCCGGAAUUAUUGGGCGUAAAGAGCGUGUAGGCGGCCAGGUAGGUCUGCUGUGAAAACUCGAGGCUUAACCUCGAGCUGUCGGCGGAAACCAUUUGGCUAGAGUCCGGAAGAGGAGAAUGGAAUUCCCGGUGUAGCGGUGAAAUGCGCAGAUAUCGGGAAGAACACCCGCGGCGAAGGCGGUUCUCUGGGACGGUACUGACGCUGAGACGCGAAAGCGUGGGGAGCGAACAGG